GAUGAACGCUGGCGGCGUGCCUAAUACAUGCAAGUCGAGCGAACGGACGAGAAGCUUGCUUCUCUGAUGUUAGCGGCGGACGGGUGAGUAACACGUGGAUAACCUACCUAUAAGACUGGGAUAACUUCGGGAAACCGUAGCUAAUACCGGAUAAUAUUUUGAACCGCAUGGUUCAAAAGUGAAAGACGGUCUUGCUGUCACUUAUAGAUGGAUCCGCGCUGCAUUAGCUAGUUGGUAAGGUAACGGCUUACCAAGGCAACGAUGCAUAGCCGACCUGAGAGGGUGAUCGGCCACACUGGAACUGAGACACGGUCCAGGCUCCUACGGGAGGCAGCAGUAGGGAAUCUUCCGCAAUGGGCGAAAGCCUGACGGAGCAACGCCGCGUGAGUGAUGAAGGUCUUCGGAUCGUAGAACUCUGUUAUUAGGGAAGAACAUAUGUGUAAGUAACUGUGCACAUCUUGACGGUACCUAAUCAGAAAGCCACGGCUAACUACGUG
rnacentral:rRNA from 1 species